CCUUCGGGUGAGUGGCAGACGGGUGAGUAACGCGUGGGAACCUUCCCUGUGGUACGGAAUAGCUCCGGGAAACUGGAAUUAAUACCGUAUACGCCCUUCGGGGGAAAGAUUUAUCGCCAUAGGAUGGGCCCGCGUCGGAUUAGCUAGUUGGUAAGGUAACGGCUUACCAAGGCAACGAUCCGUAGCUGGUCUUAGAGGAUGAUCAGCCACACUGGGACUGAGACUCGGCCCAGACUCCUACGGGAGGCAGCAGUGGGGAGUAUUGGACAAUGGGCGAAAGCCUGAUCCAGCCAUGCCGCGUGAGUGACGAAGGCCUUAGGGUUGUAAAACUCUUUUGGUAGGGACGAUAAUGACGGUACCUACAGAAUAAGCCCCGGCUAACUUCGUGCCAGCAGCCGCGGUAAUACGAAGGGGGCUAGCGUUGUUCGGAAUCACUGGGCGUAAAGCGCACGUAGGCGGACUGGUCAGUUGGGGGUGAAAUCCCAGGGCUCAACCCUGGAACUGCCUCCAAUACUGCCAGUCUUGAGUCCGAGAGAGGUGAGUGGAAUUCCUAGUGUAGAGGUGAAAUUCGUAGAUAUUAGGAAGAACACCAGUGGCGAAGGCGGCUCACUGGCUCGGUACUGACGCUGAGGUGCGAAAGCGUGGGGGGCAAACAGGAUUAGAUACCCUGGUAGUCCACGCCGUAAACGAUGAGUGCUAGCCGUCGGGUAGCUUGCUAUUCGGUGGCGCAGCUAACGCAUUAAGCACUCCGCCUGGGGAGUACGGCCGCAAGGUUAAAACUCA
rnacentral:rRNA from 1 species